CAGUCGCCGCGGUAAGACAGAGGAUGCAAGCGUUAUCCGGAAUGAUUGGGCGUAAAGCGUCUGUAGGUGGCUUUUCAAGUCCGCCGUCAAAUCCCCGGGCUCAACCCUGGACAGGCAGUGGAAACUACCAAGCUGGAGUAUGGUAGGGGCAGAGGGAAUUUCCAGUGGAGCGGUGAAAUGCGUUGAGAUUGGAAAGAACACCAAUGGCGAAAGCACUCUGCUGGGCCAACACUGACACUGAGAGACGAAAGCUAGGGGAGAAAAUGGGAUUAGAUACCCCCGUAGUCCCUGUCUCUUAUAC
rnacentral:rRNA from 1 species